UGAGAGAAAAAAUAUUUUUUAAUGAUAUGAUGCGCAACAUGAGUUUGUAAAUAUUAUUUGUUAUUGUAUAUACAUACAUAUAUAUAUAUAUAUAAGUUAGGAGACCAAAAAUAGAAUUUUCUUUAACGUGCAGGGCAUAUAAGAUAUAACUAAAUACAAUAAAAUUCUAAUAGGAAAUAUUUGGGACGUUAGUUGCUAUGUUAAUCAAAUUGAAUUUUGUUAAACAACUUUGAUAGAGAGUAAUGGUACAUCUUUAAUAUCUUUUUCUAAAAAGACGUAAUAAAAUGUAAUUGGAUGUUUUUGUCAUGACAUUUUCUGUAUGGGUUCUGUAAACUCUUUUAUAUAUAUAUAUAUAUAUAUCGAUAGAAAGGGGAGCUUUCAGCCAUUUCCUAAUAACGUGACAAAAUUAUCUGAAAUUAGACUGCGUACCAAUAUUAAAAAAGCAUAUUAUCUAAAGAAAAUACGAUUACAGAAUUACGGAAAUUAGGAAAUGAUUACUGUGAUUUGAUUGGUGUUUAAAUAAAGUCCUUCGGGAGAAAGGAAAGUUGUAUAAAAUUGUGUAAAUAGUCGGUAUGUGUGAACUUAUUAUCCGUGCGCGCGCUCGUAUGUAUGUAUGUAUGUAUGUAUGUAUGAAUGUAUGAAUGUAUGUAUGUAUGUAUGUAUGUAUGUAUGUGUGUAUGUAUGCAUGUAUGUAUGUAUGUAUGUAUGCAUGUAUGUAUGUAUGUAUGUAUGCAUGUAUGUAUGUAUGUAUUUAUGUAUGUAUGUAUAUGUAUAUGUAUAUUUUACAAUAUCAAAGAAUGAAUUUUUACUUGACCAUUAUGAUGUCUAAAUCGAAAGAUUGGGCUUGCUAUUGUCUUAUUGUUUAACGCUAGAUGUAUUAUUCGGAUAAAAAUAAAAAGAUAUUUAUAUUUUGUGUUUUACUGUAUGUAGUCUUUCUAUCGCUAUCGAGAUAAAGUAAUUUAUUUAAAGAAAUACAGAGAGGAAUCAUGUUUCAUAGUAUAUUCAAAAUACACACUGGUUCAUCGUGUUAAUUGUUCGUAUAGAAACAUGUUACUGUUGUCCGACAAAUUUUAGGUCCGACAUAAAAUAAGAAAAAGAAUAGCAAAUUGCAUUUCGCGAAAAAAGGAAACAAAGCGUGUAUAAUUUCAUGGAAGAUCGUUUCGAUACAAGGGAAUAAAGAAGAGGUGGGAGACUAAAAUGACUAGAAUAGGAAAGAGGAUGGUGGUGGAGGAGUAGAAGGAGAAGAAGAAGAAGGCAGGUACAGAGAAGUGAUAAUGUAGGGAAGUUUUGCGGUUGUACAGGGGGAAGAGGUUCUAACAGCGUUCUGUUGAGAGAGAGCGAGUGGUCGCACGUGACGACACAAUGCCAUUUGAAUUGGCCUCCUUGUUAGAAAAUCGGCCAGAGACGGUCACGAUGACGAGGAAAGAUCGUGCUCUGUUCUUCGUAGCUUCGGCCUCUUCAACCUUCCGAAUAGCUUCAUCCUCUCCACCUUCGCUAUCGCAGCAACCCCGAUUUCUUCCUCCACCUCUGAAUCUUUCUUAUUCAUCCUCUUGAUCUUUCCUCUUCUGUUACCCAUACCUUUCGACAUCCCUUUUUCUACCUUUUGCUGCUUUUUCAUACGCGGUGAUCACAAAAUCGAGCACGUCCGAUGCUAAUAACCAGUCAGAUUCCGACACGUACACACGUAAUUGUAAUCUUCUUUUUUUUUUUCUAGUUAUUUCAAAACAGUUCCUCGACGAUAUGGAUGUGUCACAUUAGCGACCGAAAAUUAAGUAAUCAAACGUUUCUAUCAAUUUCCUUGUAUCGCAACCAUUGGUAUACCAUUCAAAGCGUGUUACAAAAAUUUGCAUGUAUUGUUAGAUAACGUUUGCAAGGCGACGCAAUUUGUCGAUGAUUCAUCGUUGUAAUCGCAUCCGCAUAUUCAAGGAAGAUAUUACAGCUGUUACAUAAUGUUUAACGCGAUGAGUGAAAAUUAAUGAUUUAAUGCGGAUACAAAAUUAUUAUGGAACAGCGUAACAACUGAUACCGGAUCGACACGCUAAGCGUUGUCGGAGGAAGGAAAGCGAUGGAAAAGCAAUUGAAGAUACAAAUCCGAAGAUUCGAAGAAUAUGCUUUUUAAAAUUCAACUCACGAUAUUGGAUAAAGGAAAUGAUAUUGCGAUAAUUAGUGCACGUGAUGCGAGAUUGUGGAUCAAGAUACGAGAUCAAUGAUGAUCGUACCGCGUGUAUAUUUAAGCGUGUACAUACAUAUUUCUUGCUAAUAAUCAGAUGUCGUUGUGAUCGAA